rnacentral:tRNA from 1 species
GGGCCAGUGGGUCAGGAUCUCGGCGACCAGCGCCUCGACCGUGCGGUUGGCACUGGGCCAAGGGCCGAAGUUGAAGCCUUCGCUGGCCUC